AUGAACGCUGGCGGCGUCCCUAAUACAUGCAAGUCGAGCGAACGGACGAGAAGCUUGCUUCUCUGAUGUUAGCGGCGGACGGGUGAGUAACACGUGGAUAACCUACCUAUAAGACUGGGAUAACUUCGGGAAACCGGAGCUAAUACCGGAUGAUAUUUUGAACCGCAUGGUUCAAAAGUGAAAGACGGUCUUGCUGUCACUUAUAGAUGGAUCCGCGCUGCAUUAGCUAGUUGGUAAGGUAACGGCUUACCAAGGCAACGAUGCAUAGCCGACCUGAGAGGGUGAUCGGCCACACUGGAACUGAGACACGGUCCAGACUCCUACGGGAGGCAGCAGUAGGGAAUCUUCCGCAAUGGGCGAAAGCCUGACGGAGCAACGCCGCGUGAGUGAUGAAGGUCUUCGGAUCGUAAAACUCUGUUAUUAGGGAAGAACAUAUGUGUAAGUAACUGUGCACAUCUUGACGGUACCUAAUCAGAAAGCCACGGCUAACUACGUG
rnacentral:rRNA from 1 species